rnacentral:rRNA from 1 species
GAAGGGUGCAAGCGUUACUCGGAAUUACUGGGCGUAAAGCGUGCGUAGGUGGUGGUUUAAGUCUGCUGUGAAAGCCCUGGGCUCAGCCUGGGAAUUGCAGUGGAUACUGGAUUACUAGAGUGUGGUAGAGGGAUGCGGAAUUUCUGGUGUAGCAGUGAAAUGCGUAGAGAUCAGAAGGAACAUCCGUGGCGAAGGCGGCUUGCUGGACGAUGACUGACGUUGAGGCUCGAAAGCGUGGGGAGCAAACAGGAUUAUAUACCCUGGUAGUCCACGCCGUAAACGAUGACUACUAGGUGUCGGGGAGCAAAGCUCUUCGGUGCCGCAGCCAACGCAAUAAGUAGUCCACCUGGGGAGU